rnacentral:lncRNA from 1 species
GCGGGUGGCGAAUCAGGAGGGAAGGUGGAGCCCACAAUCUUUGCAAACUCUCUGGGGAGCCAGGGGUUUUGGCAGAGUUCAAAGACUGGGAAGCAAAGUUCAGCCAUGUUGGGCCUUUGGGCUCAUAGAUGAGCAAGGGUACCCCAAUAUGAGGGCUCAGCAAAUUCUGGAACUUAUCAGUUCUGAAGACCUUUAGAGGAGAAGGAGACAAGUAAAAGGGUUGGCCUUGCGUAUUGGCAAUGAAACAGGCUAUUUUUGACAUUGAGUUGUCCAGCAUUCUCUAAGGUAUGUAGUCCUGGAGGGCGCUGCUUAAUGAACCAGAAGUCCUGCCUCUUAAGUACCUCACCAGCUCAAAUGUGUGCAUGUCACCUUGGCGUGAAUCGGAGCAGGCGCUGGUGGAUACCGUUUGGAGGCAUGCCAGCAAGGAGCUCCUUGUGUAGCCUGCCUCUGGAGCCUCAAGUUCAACUUCCAUAGGGCCAAAAGGGGAGUCGGGCUGGGCAGAAGCUCCUGAGAACCAAAGCAAAUGGUCUGAGAGUCUGAGAGUGUAGUGGAGGUAACGUGUUCGUGUCCUCUCUGGCUGCAUCACCCCAAGUCCUUGCAGACUCAAGUAGCCUAUUUGCAAGUUUAAAUAGUUUGAGUCCUGGCCGGUAACAAGAAUACUCUACAGUGGCCCAGAGUCAGGGAUAUAGAGUGGCGACUACUUGGCAGAACUGGAGCUUGCUCAGAUGAAAAGAUAAAUUGUACUGGUUAAACGAA